UCAGAUUCAACAUCACAUGUUCCCUUUAUGUAUCCCUGAGUGUUCAUGAAACCAGUUACAAGUUCCAAGAACUACCUAAGGUAUGAUCACCGAACUCCCUAUUUUCAAUGCAAGUUCAGGUUAGUUGAUACCUUGUCAAUAAUCACAAUGCUAAAAAAAACAUGAUAACCGAGCUUGUAGCUUGAGAAAACAAUGUUUGGCCUUAGACACCAGACCUUUAAUAAUGCUGAAUUAUGGAUAAAUGUUGUAAAAUAUUUUAUGCUCCAACUAGAAUCGGUUAGUGAAUGGUUAAUGUUAGUUUUAUUAGUGUGAAGUGAAAGGUUCAAUUUGUACUGUUUUGCGUAUUGGAAUGCACUGCUGUUGGUUCUAGUAUUCCAUGAUGAAUUGUUAGUACACUACCUGUUAUUGCUGAUUACUUUCUUCUAUGUUAUUUUUUAUGUGAUGGUUAUGUGGCUGUUAUUGUGGAUUGCAGGUAAUGGUGAUUUUGGCGAGGCGUAUGGGUCAUGGAGCAUAGCAUGAAAAGGCUUGAAUGUGAAGAAAACAUAGCAUGCUAACACAUCAAGGUCCAAGAUGCUUAAAGGCCUUGGAGUCAAAGGUGGGAUGAAGAGAAUGGACUUUAGAACAUAGGGAUUGACCUUUUAACUUCUUUCUUGCAAUUGGUUUGAAAUUUGAAUACUGUAAUGGGAUUGGAUUGUAAAAACAAAUUGGAAGCAAUGGUUGGUUUGAACUAUGUAGUUUUUUUUGUUGGAUAAAAUCAUGUUAGAAAUGUAAAUAUGGAAAGUCAAUGAGUUUGUAUUGAAUGUGAUAUUGAAAUAGUUAAAUGUAAUGAAUGAAAGCAUUCACAAUUGUUAUGGAAGGUUUGUUUAUGGAUUGUAUAUGCAUUGAAUAAAAGGUUUAAGGAAACAUUGGAAUUG
rnacentral:lncRNA from 1 species